GGGGCCGACCGGAUUAGACAGCGAGAUCAAUUGGUUGGUAAGCAUGCCGAGCUAUGAAAUUAAUGCUCGUUAAUAUCUAUUUCAACCUUUUUAAAUGGCGAAAAUAACUACGCUUUAGCUG
rnacentral:tmRNA from 1 species